ACGGGCCGGUACCUCACUUGGUUAUAGCGCGCGCCUUCCAUAAGCCGUGAGGUCCGGAAACUUCCAAGUCUUCCC
rnacentral:tRNA from 1 species